CAAUUUCCAAAACUGAGGCAAUCCAACGGCAUUUGGAUAGGAAACAACUAUCUUCAACACCAUUGUUUCCCACAUAUCAACAGCAAGAUGUACUGCAAGCAAAAGGUUUCGACAAAGAAAAACAAGCUGCUUCAACAGGUCCUUCAGAUCCAAAAAAAAUGCACUUAUGCAAAAAUUGUGGACAGCCAAUGAAAGGACUUCCAAAAAGUCAUUGUCCACAAGAAUUACUUGACAAAUAUUCUUAGCAGGCCAACUUUAAAGUUAGUUAUAAAAUAAUAUACUAUGCUACAAAAAAUGUUUCCUACUUCUAUCAGUUUCUUUCCUGUGCUGACUUGUAGCCAGCAUGUUCUUGGCCUAGGGGAUUUCGUAAUGGAAAUCGUUUUUGGAUGUCUGUGUAGAUACAUGCAGGUAAUGGUCUAGAAUUUUCCCAACCAAGGCAUCCACAUAGCCAUCAAAUGACCAAACGGUAUGCAACUGCUCUCAAGUAUCUAUGAGAAAUUCAAAAUAGUAAUUUCUAUUUGAUUAUUUAUUUUGACUUCACACAACAAAAUUGUGAAGCAUCACAGCACAAUAAUGAACCACAUAAAGGUAAAAAGUAGAGAUACAUGGCAAGAUAUUAAUCAUUCGUUACAAAACAAAAUUAGAAAUCAAAAAUGUA